rnacentral:rRNA from 1 species
ACCCUACGGGAGGCAGCAGUAGGGAAUCUUCCACAAUGGACGAAAGUCUGAUGGAGCAACGCCGCGUGAGUGAAGAAGGGUUUCGGCUCGUAAAGCUCUGUUGGUAGUGAAGAAAGAUAGAGGUAGUAACUGGCCUUUAUUUGACGGUAAUUACUUAGAAAGUCACGGCUAACUACGUGCCAGCAACCGCGGUAAUACGUAGGUGGCAAGCGUUGUCCGGAUUUAUUGGGCGUAAAGCGAGUGCAGGCGGUUUAAUAAAGCUGAAGUGGAAGCC